GGCUCAGAUUGAACGCUGGCGGCAUGGUUAAAACAUGCAAGUCGAACGCGAACGGCUUCGGCCUAGUAGAGUGGCGAAAGGGCGAGGAAUAAGUAACUAACGUGCCUUCAGGUGAGGGAUAGCUCAGGGAAACUUGUGGUAAUACCUCAUGAUCCCGUCGGGUCGUAUGGCCUGUCGGGCAAAGGCUUGCUGCCUGAAGAUCGGGUUACUUCCUAUCAGCUAGUUGGUGAGGUAACGGCUCACCAAGGCGAAGACGGGUAGCUGGUGUGAGAGCACGACCAGCCGCAUCGGGACUGAGACACUGCCCGGACUCCUACGGGAGGCUGCAGUAACGAAUAUUCCGCAAUGCGCGAAAGCGUGACGGAGCAAUGCCGCGUGUGGGAUGAAGCAUCUAGGUGUGUAAACCACUGUCAGGGUUUANGAAAACAAUGACCAGACCCAAAGGAAGAGCCGGCUAACUCUUGUGCCACAGCNCGCGGUAAUACAGAGGGCUUCGAGCGUUAAUCGGAAUCACUGGGCUUAAAGGGUCCNCANGCGGACAAGAAAAGUUUNUUGUGGAAAUANCAUGGCUCAACCAUGGNAUUGCUCGGUAAACUUNCUUGUUUUNAACACCGUNGGGGGCCCAUCCGGAACCUUUAGUUGGAGCGGUGAAAUGCCNUUNNAUUUUUUAUAGGAACCCCCNNAAGCNAAAGCCGNAAUGCUNGNNCNNNUGUUUNCCCUCAANNANAAAACCCU
rnacentral:rRNA from 1 species